AACUAAAGAUAAUACAUGUGUGUGUCCCUGUUUUCUAAUGUUGAAGAAUAUUGAUAUUUGUUUUUCCUUCAAAACAUAAAUCAGCCUGGCCAAUAUUGUUGCUCCGUAUCUGAUGGAAACUCCUAAAGCCUCAUCCACUUCUACUAGAGUCCCAAAACAGACUUCAACACCAAAGAACUGGGAAACCGGCUGGACUACUGAACACAAGGUAACACAACAAAGUGUUCCAAUGAGAGGGAAGCGCAGAGACGAAACACUGCCACUAAAAAAUGAAGCGUAUGUCUCCUUUUGGACCGGCGCUCCAUGAGAAGAUUGUCUAAUGGCUGAACAUGAGGGACGGCAGUGACACGCCGUACGCACGGUGACUUAGAACAAUAGCAUCUCCCAUCCAGAGGGUGCUCCCUCAACACCAAACCGCUCAAUGGCCGCUCUGUCUUCUCUCAAUCGUGCGCCCUCAAACCAAGUACCAUCCUCUCCUGGCAUCGGCCACUCGUCUCACUCCUGUUUCCUCCUCGUCACAUGGGAGGAGAGCAAAAAGGAAGAGAGUGCACCGCGGGGGCGAAUGCAUUCAUUCAUCUGGAAGCACAACUCACGCAGUGUUCGACCACCGAGGUGGAUGUUGCACUGCUGACUCUGUCACAUGCCGCCGCCGCCGCGCUAUGGACGUCCAAAUCCCCGUCCACUGACAAGAGGACUCUGGAGCACAGCAGGCGGCCACUGUAAGCAGAUCAAUGCGCGGCUUAAGCGUCAAAUCCCCCCAUAGAACUGAGAGUUGCGCUGAGAAAAAUAAGCCAACGAUGGAUAAUGAGCAGAACUACAGGCCUGGCUGAGACUCAGGAGAUUAUAUGCAGACUUCGUGGUGUUUGAGGUGGCCCGUGGGGAGAACAAAAGGGACACUUCGUCCCAGCUCAGGACAUGGCCCCCGACAUCUGCUGUCCGCCAAUAAAACAUCUUGACCAGAAUUGUGUUCUCCUUGUCGACUUCGUGAAAACACAUAUCAGGGGCCGUCAGCAGCCAGUAACGGCGGCGUGUCGUUGCACGGCCCUUCUGAAGUGCGAUUGGCAAUUCAAUCAACACCCGAAAGGAACCCAGAGAGACUCUCGCCAACCGACCUUCUGCUCUGACUUGUGAAUGACACCUAUUGGUAAACUUUGCUUUCCUUCUCUGAAUAGUGUCAUCUUUCCGGGCAAAAUCAAUUAAUUAUUAAGACAAUGACUCUACGAUGGAAUUGCUCACUGCUCAUAGGAACAAAGCCCCUGAGGAACGGCUCUCAUAUCGGGGUUAAUAUGGUAUUAUGCACACAGUCCCAUUUUAAUAAAAUGCAGUCUGAACAUAUCA